UUUGAGCCCAUGUGUGGAAGACUUAAUAUUCUUAAUUUGAUUUAGGUGCACAUUUCUCUGUGGACGGUGAUUAUCUGCCUGAGCUCAGGUUCGUUACGGGAGCGAGCCCAUGGAAAAUAGCAGUAUUAUGAGCACACCGACAGGUGCCGAUAAAGUGAGACUGCCUGCAAACUGUAUAAGCUUCGGGUUCCAUAAAACAAGGAUCUACCCUGGUAUGUGUAUAGAAUAGAAUUGAAAAGGAAGUAGAGGAGGUGAAAAACAGUUUAACUCUGUUCUCAGUAGAAUUGAUUAUUGAAAAUAUGUCGUAGUCUGAAAUCUGAGCAGACCCUGUACCUCAGAUAACUUUGAGGAAUUUUGUUAAGACUUGGUGACAUCGUGCCUCCUGAAACUCACACUGAGAACCUUCCAGAGAAGGACCUAAACGCUGCACCGUCAUCUCCUCCAUCACUCACGCAAAUUUAUCCAACGAGAAUACCAUAUGCUGAGCUGUACCCGAGAUUAAUAUGUUCGAUUAUCUCAUGACGUUACUGAAGAUCAGCCCCUCUCCAGGAUCAUUCACCCUUCAGGGAUUUAAAUUUCACAAAUGCAGUCAACAUCGAAUGAAGUCGGCCGCUUAUACUGCAGCUCCGUCAUUGUGCUUAGCAGCCCAAGUUCCUAGUUGCAAGCAACAGAAUCACUCUGCCCUUAACAAGUGGAAAUGGAACUUAUUGGAAAGACAGGGUGGAGAAACAGGUUUAGAAAGCAGGCUGGAACCAAGGAAGGUUAGGCAACAGGAACAGUCUGGCCAGGACAGUGAGCAGAGCAUAGGCCUCGGAACUGGUGCCACCAACACUACUGUUGUGAGACGGUCCAUUGCUCCCUCAGAAUGCAAAACUCACGGCUUGUGAUCGGCCAGCCCAAGUUAUGCGUCCAUGCCUUCGCCCCAAAGGGGCAGGGAGGAAGGAGCCUCAAGUUCCCUUUGGUUUCAGCAGUGGGCGGCUGCCUCCCAGCAAGACUCACGUCACCUGGGGAAUACUCCCCAAGUAAGAUGGAGGAGGUACCAGUAAAAGUUGUUCAGAAAGCCCUGACCAUCCAGAAACAUAGAAACCUGUCUCUCCAGCCCCACAACCCACGCCCCGCUACUGGUCAUGGCUCACCAAGGAGAAAGGCGGGCAGACGGAGCUGGCUGAGCGAGGUAACGUAUGGGGCAAGCAGAGGCCGGGCUGCAUAGCGCAGAGCACAACCUGGCACGAUGCAGCGUCUACAAAUCGCCAUGAAGACUUGCUGUUAUCUGUCUUCUUUAUUAUAACCGUCCUAGUGGGUAUGAAGUGGUAUCUCGCUGUGGUUUAGAUACUCAUUUCCCUAAUGGCUAAUGACACUGAGCAACUUUCCCUGUGCCUACUGGCCGUUUGCGUAUCUUCUUUGGAGAGAUGUCUAUUCAGGUACUUUGUCCAGUUCUAACUGGUUUAUCUGGGCUUGAGUUGUAAGAGUGUUUUGGUGAUUUCCGGAUACAAGCCACUUAUCAAAUAUAUGAUUUUUUUUUUCCCCCAUUCUGUGGGUUGUCUUUUCAUUUUCCUGGUGGUGGUCUUUGAAACACAAAAGUUUUUAAUUUUAAUGCAGUGCGAUUUAUCUGGUUUUUUUUUGUUGUUGUUGUUGUUGUUGUGCUUUUGAUAUCAUAUCUAAGAAUUCUUUACCUAACCCAAAAUCAUAAAGAUUGACUUCUACGUUUUCUUUUAAGAGUUUCAUAGGUUUAGCUCCUCCGUUUAGGCCUCUGAUCCACAUGGAGGUAAUUUUUGUCUCUGACAUGAGGAAGGAGGCCUGGGCCCAACUUCAUUCUUGUGCAUGUGGGUGUCCAGUUCUCCCAGCACUGUUGGUUGAAAAAUUCUCCUUUCCCCUUGAGUUGUCUGGGCAGUCGUGGAAAAAUCCACGUGAGGGUUUGUCUCUAGAUGCUCAGUUUCUGUCCAUAUCCUGGUACCACACUCUCUUCAUGACUGCAGCUUUGUACUACGCUUUGAAACCAGGAAGUUAGUCUUCCAACCUUGUUCUUUUCCAAGAUUGUUUUGGCUAUUCUGAGUCUCUUGAGUUUCCAUGUGAAUUUUAGGAUAAGCUUACCAAUUUCUGGAGAAAAAAACAAAACAAACAAAAAAACCCAUCUUGCUAGGAUUUUGAUGGGGAUUGAAUUGAAUUUGUACAUCAAUUUAGGGAAUAUUGCUAUCUUAACAAACUUAGCAACUUUUCUAGUCCACAAACAAGGGGUGUCUCUCCAUUAUUUUAGACAUUCUUGAAUUUCUUUUAGCAAUAUUCUAUAGGUGUCAGUUUACUUGUACCUUUUUGUUACAUUUAUUUCUAAGUAUUUUAUUCUUUUUGAUGCUAUUAUAGAUGAAAUUGUUUUCUUAAUUUCAUUUUUGGUUUGUUAAUUUCUAGUGUGUAGAAAUAUAAUUGAUUUUUCUAUAUUGAUCUUUACCCUGUAACUUUGCUGAACUGAUUUAUUAGUUCCAACAGUUUUUUUUGUGUGUGUGUGUGUGGAUUCUUUAGAAUUUUCUGCAUACUUUUUUUUCUGGGAAUAUCAUGUCAUCUGCAAAUAUAGUUUUACUUCUUUCUUUCCAAUCUUGAUGCUGUUUUUUUUUCUCUCUUCUCUCUCUUUCUUGCCUAAUUUUCCAGACUAGAAUCUCCAGUGCAGUGUUGAUGGAAGUGGUGAGACGGGCAUCCUUCUCGUGUUCCUGAUCUUAGGGAGAAACAUUCAGUCUUUAUCAGGCUGACGAAGACUCCUUCCAUUCCUAGUUGGUAGAGUGUUUUUAUCAUAAAGCUUUUGACUUUGUCUUUUUGACUUUGUCAAAUGCUUUUUCUGUGUCCACGAAAUGAUCUUGUGGUUUUUACAUUACAAAUAUUUGGGAUGAAUCCCUCUUGGCAUGGUAUGUAAUCCCCUUUUAUCUGUUGCUAUAUUCAGUUUGUUGAGAAUUUCCAUAUCUAUAUUCAAGAGUUAUUGGUCGAUAGUUUCGUUUCUUGUGAUGCCUUUGUCUGGAUUUAGCAUCAGGGUAAUACUUACAGAAUAAGUUGAAAAGUGUUCCCUCCUCUUCUGUGUUUUGGGAGAGUUUGUAAAGAAUUGAUAUUAAUUUUUCUUUAACUAUUUGGUAGAAUUUACUAUCUGGGCCUGGACUUUUUGGGGGGGGGGAAUUUUUUUUAAAUUAAUAAUUCAAUCUUGUUAUAGUCCUAUUCAGAGUUUCUAUUUCUUUUUAAGUCAGUUUUGAUAGUUUGUCUUUCUAGAAAUGUGUCCAUUUCACUCAAGUUAAGUAAUUGUUUGACAUACAAUUGUUCAUAGUGUUCCCUUAUAAUGUUUUUUUAUUUUUACAAGCUUUGUAGUGAUGUGUCGUCUUUCAUUCCUGGUAUCAGUCAUUUGAGUCUUCUCUCUUUUUUUCUUGGUCAGUCUAGAUAAAGCUUUAUCAAUUUUGUUAUUCUUUUCAAAGAACUAACUUUGGGGUUUUAUUGAUUUUCUCUAUUGUUUUUCUUUUCCCUGUUUCACUGAUUUCUGCUCUAAUCUUUAAUGUUUUCCUUCUGCUUGCUUUAGGUUUAGUUUGUUUAGUGAAAGUAAUUAUUAGAAUUAUUUAAUGUUUUAAAAGUAACCCCGUCUUCAAAAAACCCCCUUAGAACUAUUUAAUGUUUCUCUGUGUGAACUGAGGUAUUUAGAGAACAUCUACGUAGUAUGCUCAGUAAUAACAACAAAUGAAAAUAGGUCGUUUAACCAGUUCACAUUUUUGACUCAGACCACAUGAGUGGUGAGGGCGCUUUACCCGCAGCGAUUUCCACUUGAAAAAACAAAGCAUUGCCGUGGGUUUAUAAAAAUAUUUGGCAAUGUGUCUCCUAAGAAACAGCAGAGAACCUUCAACAUUUUUCCACUGAGAAAUUGAAGACUCAGGAAACUAGGGAAAAAAUUACAGAUUUUUAGAGAGAAAGUGUUUAGCUGACCAAUAGUAUAAGAACAGAAUAAAAUUAAUAAUUUUCAGUUGAUUUGUUAUGGUCAGGUAAGGAUUGUAUGAGGGAGAGUAGAAGAGACAACAGAGGAGAAAGUGAGAAAUAGAAACCAGGGUCAGGAGGAGAGAGUGAUAAGGAAGGGAGGGAGGAAUUGAGAAAGGAGGAGAAAGGGCAUUAGAGGGAGAGCUGGGCGGAAGGAGGGGGAAGGUAAAAUCAACAGCACACAUAUGAAUCAAUGUUUUCUGAGAUGAAAUAAAGUUCACACAGUUUUUUAUACGUUAUGCUAACCUGGGUUUUGGGGUAGACCUUAUCAGAGUGGGAGUCUACUGAUAGAGCUACCACAUAAUUCAUGCAUCAGUCAUGAACCAUCCCACACAACUCUCCUAUCACGGCAACCAAUUAUUAACUUUUCUGGAUCUGUUGGUACUAGAUGCCUCCUGAGAAGAAAUAUUCCCAACUACAGUGGUGUGAAGAAAGUAAUUUCAUUUCAUCAGAUAUUUGCUUCAGAGCUGCAUAAAACCCACAGACUACCUUCAGCCUGGUUUUGAGAAUACUUGAAACUGACACACACACACAUACACACAUACACACAUGCACACACAGUACACAUGUACACACAUACACACACAUAUACAUGCAUACAUGGACACACACAUGCACACAACCGUGCACACAUACCCACAUUCACACUACACACAUCCACGUGUGCACACACACACAUUCAUACUACACACAUCCACAUGCACACACAUGCACACAUGCAUACAAACAUGCAGGUGCACACAUUCUCACAUGCACACAUUCACACUACACACAUCUACACGCACACACGUGUACACAUGCAUACAAACAUACAGGUACACACAUACCCACAUGCACACAUUCACACUACACACAUCUACAUGCACACACGCAGACCCCUCCACACACUUACACACAAAUGAAUUUUUAUAGGUGAUUUCUACUCACCCAACCUAAGUAAUUCUCAAAGAAUGAGUUGAAAAAUUUCAGGUUUCUGAGAAGUCUAUUUGUCUAAUAAAAAGGAGUAAAAUCCUUUGAAAUGUUUAAAAUAUCUCAUUAAUAUUUAAAGGCUACCAGUGAGAUUGAAUACAAAGCAAAGGAGACAGACUCCUAGUCCUAAAAUCUGUCAGGUUUCCCAAUACCCUUUCACAGCACAGGACGUGUGCAGGCACCAUGUAGUGUGGCACCUGUUUCCAGUUUUACCAUAAUGAUAGGAUAUGUAUGUGUCUUUUUGCUUAGAAAAUAUUUUCUCCUUAAUUGUGUGGGCUUUUAAAAGCUUUAGAAAUAUAGGGCACCUUAGAAUGCCUGCCGGAAUAGGAAACCUUGCAGAAGGUUAUCUUGCUUUUUCUCUCCAGAGUAGCUGAGUUUUCCCCUGUGGUCUGACCGCGGUGGUUUUAGAAAUAACGUGUAUCCUCAGAGUGUGUGCUGUUAAGUAAUAACAACCAUACUGUAGGUGUGCUUGUCCAUCAGCCUUUGUCCAGGCCGUACCCGGGUAAAACCCAGGUAAAUAAGACUACUCAGAGACAGCGUGUUCUCAUUAACAGGAUUCUCUCUCUAAAUGAGAAAUCUGGAAACUUUAACAUUAGAAACAUAUUUAAAAUGCACACCCAUUAAUCAGUAGCCUUAAUGAAUGCCCAUAUUUCAACUUCUUUCUUUACAGACUCAAGAUCUUUUCAUUAAUUGAGAAUAAUCUCUUAGCUCAGUUCUAGCUAUUUGAAUGUCUUCUUUUCUGAUAAUUUCUCUUUCCGUCCAUUUCAAGGAUCAUUAUUAUAAUAACUGAAGUCUUUCGUCUGAUAAUUCCAAGGGCUGUGUCAUCUCAGCAUGUGGGAUUGUUGAUUUUCUUUUCCUGUGAAACCUAAUGAAUUUAUAUGGUAGAAAAUAUGUAAAAAAUGAUCUCAUCCACUCAACCACUAAUUUAUGUUUUAACAACCUUCUUAUCUCCUUUGUAAACCUUGCGUUUAAAAUUAUUGGGAAUCUUUGUUUCCCUCACUAGACAGUAAACUCCAGAGUAGCAGGGGUGAGGGAGAGCUAUCGUUUUGAUCUUUGUAUCUCCGACAUUGUCCAGUACCUGCCUUGUCGUAAAAAACAAACAAACAAACACAAACCUGUUGCAAUCGAGUCCAUUCCGACUCAUAGCGACCCUACAGGACAGCGUAGAACUGCCCCAUAGGGUUUCCAAGGAGUGGCUGUUGGAUUCGAACUGCUGACCUUUUGGUUAGCAGCCAAGCUCUUAGCCACUGCACCACCAGGACUGCACCUUGUCAUAAAUGGGCACCCAAUAAAUACUUUUGUAUGAAAGAAAAACCAAGAUUAAUUUGAAAAGCAAUUUUCUGAGUGCUUAUUAACAAAUAUGAAGGAGCCCUAGUGGCGCAGUGGUUAAGAGCUUAGCCGCAAAACUGAAAGGUUGGUGGUUCCAACCACCAGUGUUGCCCACUCGGUCUCGUAUACUUGAUUCAACUAAGAAGCACGUUCCUCACAUGUGUUAUUGUUUGUUUUAAAGGUCUGUCUAAUCUUUGGCUGAAAGGCCCACUUUGCGAGUGGCUUCAGUUCUCGGUUAAGGAACAACAUCUUUUACUUAAAAAAAAAAAAAGAGAUGGUGGUUGAGACUGCUGCCAUGUUAAGUAUGCAAUUGUCAUCGUAUGUGAGGAGAGGAGUGGGUUAGUGGAUAUGGAUAGAAACAGCUCCAGGAGAAGCCUUUGGGCUCUGACUGGGAAAUGGGAUUCCUAACAUUCAGCAAGAGCGGGGGAAAUGCCUCACUCUUCUUUCUCCAUCUGUUCUGUGGUCCCCGGGCAGUCCUGCAAUAGCAGUGGUCCAGCAGAGGCCACAGGUGCUAAAACACUGAUGGAGGAGAUACCUCCUCUCUGACAGAAGGAACCGAAGUCCCAAGAGGGUGGGGCAAGCCCCUGUUAUAUCAUUUCUGUCUCUCCUCCAGAAGCUUCGCCCUGAUGCAGGUGCAGUCAUGAGAAAUGGCAGCAGUGUGGAGUAGUUGAAGCUAGAUCUUCCUGACAGGAGAACUAGACAGGGAAUCCUAAGGAAUCAGCUGGACUCUAUGGAGAAGAAUUGGGCAUCAGGAUUGGAGGAAGAUUCAUUGACAACCUGCGUUGUGCAGAUGACACAGCCUUGCUUGCUGAAAGUAAAGAGGACUUGAAGCACUUACAAAGACUACAGCCUUCAGUAUGGAUUACACCUCAACAUAAAGAAAAUAAAAAUCCUCACAACUGGACCAAUGGGCAACAUCAAGAUAAACGGAGAAAAGAUUAAAGUUGUCAAGGAUUUCAUUUUACUUAGAUCCACAAUCAACAGCCAUGGAAAUAGCAGUCGAGAAAUCAAAAGAUGCAUUGCAUUGGGCAAAUCGGCUGCAAGAGAUCUCUUUCAAGUGUUAAAAAGCAAAGAUGUCACCUUGGGGGCUAGAGUGCACCUGACCCAAGCCAUGGUGUUUCCCGUGUGCAUGGGAAAGCUGGAGAAUGAAUAAGGAAGACUGAAGAAGAAUCGAAGCCUUUGAAUUGUGGUGCUGGUGAAUAAUAUUAAAUAUACCAUGGACUGCCAAAACAGCAAACAAAUCUGUCUUGGAGGAAGUACAGCCAGAAUGCUCUUGGAAGCAAGGAUGGCGAGACUUCACCUCACGUACUUUGGACAUGUUAUCAGAAGGGAUCAGCCCCUGGAGAAGGGCAUCAUGCUUGGUAAAGUAGAGGGUCAGUGAAAAAGAGGAAGACCCUCAACGAGAUGGAUUGACACGGUGUCUGCAACAAUGGGCUCAAGCAUAACAAUGAUCAUAAGGAUGGCACAGGCCCUGGCAGUGUUUCGUUCUGUUGUGCAUAUGGUCACUAUGACUCGGAACCAACUCGAUGGCCCCUAACAGCAACCUAACAACAAGGAACCAGAGAGCACCAGGGAGAUUGCAGAGGGAAGACCUCACAAUGUUGUUUAUGAAUGCUUUGGCACACUCCUAGGCUGUGCACGCAUGACUCCAACCCUAAACAACAUGCCAUAGACCUUGAGUACUGAACUAUGGGAUAGACUGCCACUCAGGUCCAAGACUGGCCACUGGAUGACACAUACCUGAGGCAGAUAGGAGUACCACUGUGAAGGCAUAGACAAUGAACUAACAUUGGAAUCACAACCCACAGGAGGCUGGGAGGAACUUGUGGCAUGAACCCAAUUUGGUUGAUUACUCGCCAAAAGAAACAAAAAAUUCAUGCAAGUUAAAACAAGAUCCAGGCUUUUAUAAUAUUCAAAUAAAACCCAAAACAACACUGCUUACAAAGAACCAGGAAAAUCUCAACUCACACAGGAAAAAACAACAUAAAAGAAACCUGUUGCGGUCAAGUCGAUUCCAAUUCCUAGUGACCCUCCAGAACAGAGUGGGACCGCCCCGUAGGGUUUCCUUACGGAAGCAGACUGCCACGUCGCUCUACUGUGGAGCAGCUGGUGGGCUUGAACCAUCAACUUCUGAGCAGCCGCGAGCUUAACUACUGCACCACCAGGGCUCCUUAGCAUUGGCGAAAAACAAGGCUCUGGGAAUUGACGGAAUACCAACUGAGAUGUUCCAACAAACAUGCAAUGAUUGUGAGUGUGGCUCAGGACCAGGCAAUGUUUUGUUCUGUUGCGCAUAGGGUCGCUAUGAGUCGGAACAGACUCAACGGCACCUAAGAACAACAACAACAAGUAUAUCAUGAAAAGUGAAUUUUAUAUAGGUAAUCUAUUGAACAAUCACUUAAAAAUUAUAAAAAGAGAUAUAGUAAACACAACAGAUAGAAUACUAUUAAAUGUUCAAACAAUGCAAAAGAAAGCAGAAAAGAAGAAACAGGAAUGAAAAAGAAGACAGAAGCAGAAAACAAAAAUAAAAUGGUAGACAUAAAUAUAAACAUCAAUAAGUACGUUAAAUAUAAAUGGUCUAAACAUAUCAAUUAAAGAUAGAAUAAUAAUAAAAGAACCCAACUCUGUGCUCUCCAGAAGAAACUCAUUUCAAAUAAAACUAUAUGGAUUAGUUAAAACCAAAAGGAUGAAAAAAAGAUACACCAUACAAAUACCAAUAAAAAGAAAGCUGGAAUGUCGCUAUUAAUAUGAGACAAAAUAAAAUUCAGAGCAAAUAUAAUUACCAAGGAUAAAGAGGGAUAUUGCAUAAUGACAAAAGGUCAAUUUACAAAGAAGAUACCUAAAAAGAGAGCUUCAAAAUUCAUGAAGCAAAAGCUGACAAACUGAAAAGAGGAAAAGGUAAAUUUGCCAUUGUAGUUGAAGAUUUGAACACUCCCGUCUUAGUAAGCGAUAGAACACAUACACAGAAAAUUAACAAAAAUAUCAGUCACUAGGUCUAUAGAACCCUCCGCCCAACAACAGCAGGAUAUAUGUUCUUUUCAAGAGCGUAUGAAAUAUGCACAUUGUCGUUAAUCGAAUUGUGUCCCCCAAAAAUGCAUGUCAAUUUGGAUAGUCCAUGAUUCCCAGUAUUGUGUGAUUGUCCACAAUUUUGUCAUCUGCUGUUAUUUUCCUGUGUGUUGUAAAUACUACGUCUAUGAUGUUAAUGAGGUGGAAUUAGAGGCAGUUAUGUUAAUGAGGCAGGACUCAAUCUACAAGAUUAGGUUGUGUCUUUUGAGAUAUAAAAGAGAGGAGCGAGCAGAGAGACAUGGGGACCUCAUACCACCAAGAAACAAGAGCCAGGAGAAUAGCGUGUCCUUUGGACCUGGGAUCCCUGCUCUGAGAAGCUCCUCCCCCAGGAAGAGACUGAUGACAAGGACCUUCCUCCACAGCUGACAGAGAGAGAAAGCCAUCCCCUGGAGCUGAUGCCCUGAAUUCAAGCUUCUAGCCCCCUAGACUGUGAAAGAAUAAAUUUCUCUUUGUUAAAGCUGUUCACUUGUGGUAUUCUAUUAUAGCAGUACUAGGUAACUAAGACACACAUAAAUAGACUACAUCUAAAGUCAUUAAAAAACCUUAACAAGUCAAAAACAAAUGAAAUGAUACAAAGUAUGUUUCUAUAAUGGAAUUAAACUAGAAACCAAUAAAGGAAAGAUAACAAGAAAAUCUCUAAACGCUUGAAAAUUAAACGGUACAUUUCUAUAAGCCAUGGGUAAAAUAGAAAAACUUAAAGGAAGUUAGAAAAUAUUUUGAACAGAAUGAAAUGGAAACAAAAGACAAAUGUAUUCUUGAGAUGGUCUCUAAAUUCAGGUAGGAUAUACUAAAGGUCGUACUUUGGCUCUUGUAGACUUGUUCUAAUUUUCUUCAGCUUCAACUUGAACUUGCGUAUGAGCAAUUGAUGGUCUGUGCCACAGUCGGCCCCUGGCCUUGUUCUGACUGAUGAUAUUGAGCUUUUCCGUCAUGUGUUUCCACAGACAUAGUCAAUUUGACUCCUGUGUGUUCCAUCUCAUGAGGUCCAUGUGUAUAGUCGCCGUUUAUGUGAAAGUAGAUAUUUGCAAUGAAGAAGUCAUUGGUCUUACAAAAUUCUAUCAUGCGAUCUCCAGCAUCAUUUCUAUCACCAAGGCCAUGUUUUCCAUCUACCAAUCCUCCUCCUUUGUUUCCAACUUUCGAAUUCCAUUUGCCAGUAAUUAUCAAUGCGUUUUUGAUCAGUUUCAAACUGCAGAAGUUUGUAAAAAUCUUCAAUUUUUUCGUCUUUGGCCUUAGUGGUUGGUUCAUAAACUUGAAUAAUACUUGUAUUAACUGGUCUUUGUAGACGUAUGGAUAUUAUCCUGUCACUGACAGCAUUGUACUUCAGGAUAGAUCUAGAAAGUACAAUUCUGGGUAAAAUUACUGAGGCCUUGCUCUGUACCCAGCAAUGUGCUAACCACUUUGCAUGGAUUAGCUAAGAGUUCUCCCAACAAGUCUGUGAGGUGGAAAAAUUGCAGAUGAAGAAAGUGAAAUUUCAAGAGGAGAGGUGGCUUACCCAAGGUUCCUCUUCAUGUUGUCAUUCCGGCAUAGCAAACUAUAUGAUUGUCUGAUUCAAAAUGGCCAGUACCAAUCCAUUUCAGCUCACUAAUGCCUAGGAUAUCAAUGUUUAUGCAUUCCAUUUCAUUUUUGAUGAUUUCUAAUUUUCCUAGAUUCAUACUUUGUACAUUCCAGGUUCUGAUUAUUAAUGGAUGUUUACAGCUGUUUCUUCUCAUUUUGAAUGGUUCUACAUCAGCAAACGAAAUGUUCUGAAAGCUUGACUCCAUCCAUGUCAUUAAGGUUGACUCUCCUUUGAGGAGGCAGCUCUUCCCCAGUCAUCUUUUGAGUGCCUUCCAACCUGAGUGGUUCAUCUUCCAGCACUGUUAUCAGGCAAUGUUCCACUGCUUUUCAGAUAUGUGGGGGCACAGACUUGGAAACCCUAUGGGGCGGUUCUACUCUGUCCUGUAGGGUCACUGUCAGUUGGAAUUGACUCAAUGGCAUGCAGCACUGGCAACCUUGGGUAAGAUGCCUGUCUUCUGGGUGGGGGGAGGUUUGAAUAAUGAGAGUGAGAAGGUAAGUCUUACAGCUGGCAGAGUGAAAUCUCAGGGUAGGAGGGGGAUUGGGAAUAUGCAGACAAAAGAAACUGGAAUUUGUGAAUAACAACUUUAUAAUAUUCCCCAGACCUAUAGUAACAUGUUGAUGUGUAGUUGGGGGCAUUCCUUUGGAAAAAUCAUUAAAUAGUGAAAACUGGAAUGAUGCCGUAUCUACAAGUGCUCCGCUUAGUGUCAGCUCAGAGUGGGUGCUCAGUAUGGGCCUGCAUGUGAUCACAGCAUUUUGAGGGAGCUGCCACUGUGUCUUUUUGGCUCUAGGCCUGUCUCAGAAGUUGGGGAAGUCCCCACACUUCCAGUGAGGCCCUCUAUAAAAGCCUCAGUUUCAGGUCCUCCAUUCGAGACAUCCUCUCAGUCAAUGUGGGAGUUUCUAGCUGUGGGUGCUCUUUUCUGUGUCAGGGCCUCUCACAUGAAAGCAGUGAGGGCUGUUGGGGCCCCUCACAUACGAUAGAACACAAGAGCAGUGAGGGCUGUCGGAGUCCAUCUCAUAAACUUGAACACAAAAUCAGUGAGAGCUGUCGGGGCCUUUUGACAGAACACAAGAGCAGUGAGGGCUGUCGGGGCCUCUCUCAUACAAUUGAACACGAAAGCGGUGAGAGCCGUCGGGGCCUCUCACAGACCAUUGAACAUGAGAGCCACUAGAGUCACAAGUCCUGGGAAGGACCCGGUGGAUCGGGCCUUGGUCUGUGUCCUCAGCAUUGCUGCCCCAAGCCUGCUCCCUAGGGGGUCCAGCAGCACCUUGACCCCCUGGAGUGGGAAGAAGAGCAGAUAUUCACACCAAGGCCUGAGGUGUUGUGUCAGAGCCUGGAAUGUAAUAAGAUUUUAGGUUGCCCACGCACAUAUUAAAAUUUGAGCAACACUGGCCUGGAGAACAACUCAGCAUUCCUUUCAGAGCUAGAAAUGGUGCUGCUCUGGUGUGGUCAUAAAAAACAAGGGCAGUUGCACAGUUACUCAAUGAGGGUCCCUUUACAAGCCCUGAAUUUUAAACCUCUGGCAGGAGGAGCAAGAGCGGUCUUUCUCCCAUACUUUGUUCCCUAGUGGCCACAUCUGGAGCCUCUCACAGGGCACAUUGAUGACUUGAAGGCCCAGUCCUUCUCUGAAUGUUCUCUUGUCUCUGGUGCCUAAAUUUCUUGUCAGAUACUGUGCAAGCUAGAAGAGAAUGGAGUGACUGAAAGAAAAAAAAAAAUUAAAACCUGUCAACCCAGAAUUCCAUACCCAGCACAAAUAGUUUUCGAAACUGAAGGCAAAAAAUUUUUUUUUUUUUUUAGAUAAACAAAAGCUUAUCUAAUUCAUUGACAGCAAACAUGUGCUAUAAGAAAUGUUAAAAGAAGUCCUUCAAGGUGCAGGAAAAUGAUACCAGGAGGAAAUUUGGAUCCACACAAAUGGAGAGCACAGUAAUAGCAGAAAUAAAUACUAAGUAUGCUUUUUUUAAAAAAAUUUUUGUGCUUUAAGUGAAAGUUUACAAAUCAAGUCAGACUCUCAUAUAAAAAUUUAUAAACACCUUGCUGUAUACUCCUAAUUGCUCUCCCCCUAAUGAGACAGCACACCCCUUCCCUCUGCUCUUUCUUUUCGUGUCUAUUCCACCAGCUUCUGACCCCCUCUACCCUCUCAUCUCUCCUUCAGACGGGAGAUGCCAACAUAGUCUCCUGUGUCUACUUGAUCCGAGAAGCUUAUUCUUCCCCAGUAUCAUUUUCUAUCCCAUGGUCCAGUCCAAUCCCUGUCUGAAGAGUUGGCUUUGGGAAUGAUUCCUGUCUUGGGCUAACAGAAGGUCUGGGGGCCAUGACCUCGGGGUCCUUCUAGUGUCAGUCAGACCAUUAAUUCUGGUCUUUUUAUAAGAAUUUUGGGUCUGCAUCCCACUGCUUUCCUGCUCACUUGGAGGUUCUCUGUUUUGUUCCCUGUCAGGGCAGUUACUGGUUGUAGCCAGGUGCCAUCUAGUUCUUCUGGUCUCAGUCUAAUGUAGUCUCUGCUUUAUGUGGCCCUUUCUGCCUCUUGCGUUCAUAAUUACCUCGUGUCUUUGGUAUUCUUCAUUCUCCUUUGCUCCAGAUGGGUUGAGACCCACUGAUGCAUCUUAGAUGGCUGCUUGCUAGCGUUUAAGACCCCAGACGCCACUCUUAAUAGUGGGAUGCGGAAUGUUUUCUUAAUAGAUUUUAUUAUGCCAAUUGACUUAGAUGUCUCCUGAAACCAUGGUCCCCAAACCCCUGCCCCUGCUACGCUGAUCUUUGAAGCAUUCAGUUUAUUCAGGAAACUUCUUUGCUUUUGGUUUAGUCCGGUUGUGCUGACCUCUCCUGUAUUGUGCGUUGUCUUUCCCUUCACCUAAAAUAGUUCUUAUCUACUAUCUAAUUCGUGAAAACCC